rnacentral:ribozyme from 13 species
AGAGGGGAAGGGAAGGUGUUCAUCAUUGGUGUUUGUUUGACAGAGAAAAAAAAAGAAAAGAAAGAGAAUUUUUUUGUUUUUUUUU